CCACACACGGAGGACGGGCUCACCUCCUCUCCCUCUCGCCCACGAUGUCCUCGCCGCCGCCACCACCCAUGCCGUCCGCUUCCGGUGAGCUCCGGCGCCACGCACCAUGCCCCUGAGCUCCCAACGGUCCUCUCCUCCCUCCCCUCCAGCCAGAUUCUCUGAUCCCGGCCUCUACCGCCCGCUCGCAACCCCAUCCCCAUGGCUAGGGUUUCAGGCAGGGCUUCGCCGGCGUCAAGGGCAUCUUCACGGAGAUGUGAAGGAUGCCAUGGACCUGCAGCUCCUCAUGGUUUUAUCAUGUUCCUAUCUCAUCCGCUCCCUUUCCCGUCCCUUCCCCAUCUCGGUUCCUUCCCUUCUUGCGCAGGUCAGCGGGGAGGAACCCUAGCCAGCAGCACCUCCUCACCUUGGAUGACGCCUCUGCUGCGCCAAGAUAGGGCAAGCAACCCCGUCUGCUCUCAAUCUCUCCCAUUAGCACAAGUCCAGUUUUUUUGAACGAAAUUCUGCUACUACACGAACAAGUCCAUGAAUGGAUCUAUUUUUAUUUGUGAAUUGAUAUCCUUCCAAACACAGACAGUGUAUAUAUGUGCUGUUUUUAUUUUUGUACCCUUUUCAUUUUUGUGCUUUUAUAUGUAAGCUCAUAAAAUAGUUAUACUGAAAAUGACAUGUAAGUUCUUAUUGUGGGAGUAUGACGACAUGAAAUUCUAACUGAAUUCUUUUCAGCUGGAAAACGCCUUUCUGCAAACAGGAAAUAAAUUAUUCAAUUCUUGGUUCCACAUAGUCCUAAUUGCUUACCGUUUUAUCUCUGUUCAAUCUAUCUUACUGAAUUUCUGAACAACCAGGGUUGCUAGCAUGCUGUGUGGCGGAUUUGUUUUUUUGAAAUUGUUUCACGGCUAUUUGAGUGCUUUUUUUCGUUCUGUUCAUCAGUUCUUUCUGGUGUAGUGACUCAAGAAGUGAUUCUUCUGCAAAGUGAUGUGCUCUCAAUUGAGCCAGGCUCCAGGAAAGGUGACCAAGUGGUGUGUGUUUACCUAGCCGAGCAUAAUCUGAACGACUCCAACUGUUGUGUACAAAUCCAGCUAUGCAAGUGCAAGUAAAACUAUGGUGGUUGUUGCAUCCACAGGCUGAGUACAAGGCAGGCUGACUACUAGGAGCCAGUAUGACAAGUCUACAAAGAUCUCCAGUACUUACAAGGCUCAGUCUGUACAAGGGGGUGUCUCAGUCUGGUUUGCCGUAGGUCUUCAUCGCUAUGUUGAAUCACAUGCUCCUUAUAGUCUAAUGCAAGUUGCUCAUAUUCAGAAAAUUGGUUACUCUUGAAUGAGGAAAUAAGGUGCUGAUAUAAGCAUUAACAUUAGAGUUCACAAUCAGGAACUAACUAAAGCAUUAACAUUGUAUAGACAUACAUUAAAACAAUCAGUGCCGAUGCUAAUUUCAGCCUUUUAUUUCUGGAGUCAAGGGAUAACCUUUAUUUGAAUGUUUAUAUUUUUAUUUCAAUUGGAAACAAUCUUGAUGCACCAUUGAAGUUAUUUAAUAAGAACUAUCAACUACUCCUUUUCUAUUUUUGCAUAUUAAUGGCCCCAGGUACUCAACUGAGGAACACACCAUGCCACUUCGAAUCAAUAUUAUCACCAUGUAUGGAAGAUACUAGGAACCAUGACUUUCUGAUGAAUAUUCUUAUGCCAUAGAAGUUUCUCACUUAUAUAAAUUAAAUUUAACUCACAGUAUAGAAUGCACUUAGUAAAAUAAAAAAGAUCAGAACAAAAGUAGAAAUUUUCCCCAAACAAUUAUGUUUACACUUCUCCUACUGUUUAGAGGUUGGUUUAGUUUUACCCUGUCAAGAAAAAAUCAUAUAUAGUUCUCCAGAAUUGGCCUGGCUUAUCACAUUGCGAAGAUCCACACUGUGGUAGUUCCCUUUGUAAACAUGUACUUUCAAUCGUGGUGAUAUUUUUCAACCUAGAUGUACCACAUCAUGCAAGUUAGAUAAAGAAUACAAAUAAGAAAUAACUAGGCCAUAUUAAUGGUGGUUUCACUCUAAAUAGGACUAAGCAUAAGCUUGUAAAAUAAAGAGCACAUUAGUUGAUUCUCUACAUAUAAUAUCACUGCAUAUUACAUUCAGGUUGUAUAAGACUGAAUUUGUUUUUUCUGUUCGGUUCCGCAGAUGUCAGUGUGAAUUGGUCACUGCUUUCGGAAAGUGUAGGUCAGUGGGUUACAUUUUAGAAGAUAACACAAUAUUGGUGAUGCCUUAUGGACACAUCGCUGUUAAGGAUAAUGCUUUUGCAAUGAGUAUUGACAUUUCUGGUUGGUAUAAUGCAACACGGUGGAAUAUCUUUGUAACAUUGCAACUGAAUAUCUUGCGUGCAAUUCAAGGUGUACAGUGAUGUCGAGUGCAUCGGGUUUGCAGAGCUGCCCCAAGUGCAAGCUUUACAUUGACAGAGUGGAUGCUUGCACCUUGCGCCUGCAGGUAACUAUUGGUUCCCCAAGUCUCCUUCCUACGUGUGGGCACUGUAUUUGGUACUUGUGUGGAUCCACAAUUUCUAGGUUGUAGAAACUAUAGGACUACAUGGUGAUUUGUCAAUGAUCUUAAGUUGGCCGACUCUACUACAUGGAAAGAAUUAAUUAUGCAAAUCCAAACUAUUUCUGUAUAAAGACUGGAUACUACUGUUAAUACUGAUUUGGUUAACAACAUUUAGCUCAUGCAACUCUAAUGCCAGUUUGGCCAUCACUAUCAGAAGUAACACCUAUACAAGCUCUAUUAGUAAACAUCACAAUUCAUGAGUGUUGUUUGACAUCACAUUAGUGAGCUCCUCGCUCUUGUGAUCAUGUGUUAUGGAGUCAUAACCAUUUUCAGUUAUUUUCAUGCCAGCACAUUCGAUGUUUUCUGUUUAAUGUUAAAUCAUAACCAUUAAUUAGUCCAUCAAUGUCUUUUAGUAUGUGUUUUCACUGCAAAAGCUUAACCAUUGCAGUUUCCUGUGUGCAGAAGCUUGUAGUUUGUUAACUGAUUUCUGUGAUUUGUUUUCUGUAUGCAGCCCCCACUUAUGUGGAUGGUUCGGCAUAUCCAUAUAAGCUUUGUCUUGCAAUGAUGGUCCAAAGUUUCAAAAAAUAUAUUAUAUGAAGUUUCAAAUUACUUUUUAAAAGUUUGAUGCAUCUCAAGGACAGUUAGUGCUUGUGUCCGGUAUCUAAGUAGCACACAAUUGUUGAAGGGUCAUGACAGAAUCAGAAUUUCCAGCAUUCCUUUUCCAAGGGGCGGCACGACUGCUAGAUGCAGAAUAGCGGUGGAUGCUGGAGCUUGAAGGGUCCAGAUCCGUGCGCGGUAGGGGUUGGGGAGGCGGAUCCAGAGAUGGGCGACGAGGAGAGGGUCGCUGGUGACGACGAGGAAGGUCGGAGCGCGUCUUCCCAGGUGGAUCCAUGGCAUCCGCGACUCCUGGGCAGAAAGAAGACAUGGAGGUGAGGGACAGAAGGAGGCGCGGUGCGGCGACCUUACGUAUUGAAAGUUCACUUCGGAAAUCUGGAGAACUAGCUGUAACCCCCUUCUCAUAUCCUUGCACAGGUAAGCAACAAAGUUUGUUUUGGUGAUUUUUGCCUUCUUCGAUUGAUACUUUUGAAGCAUCUGAUGGGUCUCAUCUGUUUGUCAAUUCGUCAGUUUACUGUAGCCUAUAUAGCUGUUGCCGACAGUAGACUAUAUUUGAUUGACAAGCAACACAUCAUGCACUCCUACAUACAUGGAUUCUGUUUGUACUUGACAGCAACAGACUACUCCAAUGUAUGAAUAUGUUUGUUUAAAAAUGGAAGAAUAUGUAUGAAUAUUAACUUCAUACAUGGAGUAAAUUCGUAAAAGAUGUAUGGGAUGAGUUUACUGAUAAAAAAAGAAUACAGAAUGCCUGAAUGACCCCAAUGUACCCAGCUCUCACCGCCAUAUAGCUAGCACAAGAGCUUAAAAGCAAAGUGCCAGCAUGCCUCAUACAUGUUUCAAGAUAAACUAGAACAUAGCUACAAAUAUAGUGCAUCAGCAACGUUGUCUGCUACUCUGCUUCACGUACAACGUCAUUGCACAUUCAGUUAGGUACGUGCAGGACCUUGCAACAUUCAGUCAAGCAAGUAGCCGCUGCUGUUGGAACGCCGUUGUGUGGGCAGUGCUGAAGCAGUCGGCUCGUCCUCGGAUUAGAGCAGUGCCGAGUCCGCCUGGUCGUCCUCGCAGCGGGGAAGUCCCGAGGCUGCCGGGUCGCAAUCGAGUGCAGCAGCGCCGCGGCCACCGGUUCGCCGCCUGAUAGAACAACACCAAGGCUACCAGGCCAUCGUAGCGUCAA